AUUCCGCUUUCUGUUGCAGACUUCAGAGUCACCGUGAUCACAUGGCCUCCCUCCAUCCUGCGUUACUUGGACUACGCGGCAUCAUGGUAGUCGCUGUUUCUGGCUUUGAGUUUUCCAUCUCCAUGAGCUCUCACAAUGCCAAACUGCAUUGUCUCAUGAAGAACCACUUGGAAUCCCCCUGAGGUCCAGAAAACACGUCUGACAUCAGCUGCCAGGCCCAUCUUGCGUUUGCAGUCCAAGGUCAGUCUACAGCAGAAGCAAGAAAAUUCCUAUUUAUCUCACAAUCUCCACCCUGAGUCCUGCUCUCCUAAGUGUCCCUUUCACAGGACUGUAUCUGACCUACUUUCAAGCCUGGGUUUCCCUCCUUGAUUAAGCUACUCUCGAUAUACCCUCCUACAUCUCCUAGGCAAUUCCAAGCCCCAUCAACUUGACAACCAAGAUUGACCAGCAAAGAUGGUAAAUUAUAUGCUGUGUUUAUUUUACCACUGUGCUAUUCUGUCUUGGUUUUGUACAUGGGAAAACCCUGUUUUCCUUAAUCUCAUGUUUUAUUCUUUUUGUAUGUGAGUACACUGUCACUGUCUUCAGGCACACCGAAAGAGGGCAUCAGAUCUCAUUACAGAUGGUUGUGAGCUACCCUGUGGUUGCUGGGAAUUGAACUCAGGACCUCUGGAAGAGCAGUCAGUGCUCUUAACUGCUGAGCCAUCUCUCCAGCCCCCUUCCUAUGCUUUAUAGCAGGUUUUCACAGAAAUGAUGCUUUUAGCAUAUGAAGUAACCUAAAGGGAGAGCAUACACUUGCUCCUUCUUGAAGUUUUACACUGCAGAUUUAUCAAGCUACUUGAUGAAAAAUCAGAAUCAAUAGUGUAUUUACUUACUUCAGGGGACAGAGGAUGUGAGAGCUUAAGAACAUAGGAGUCUUCUUUCCCCCUACUAAUUAAAUACUUUAUUGAGCAAGUACAAUAGCAACAAAAUGCAUUCAAAUUUUCUCUAAAGAAAAAAAAUCACUUUUAAAGGCCUUUCUAGUCAGGCUAAUGACAAACACAAUAAAGGCAGAUAUGCUAGUUUAACAUAAUUGGCUGAUUUCAUACAGCACUUAUAUCUUUUACUCCACAAGUAUAUCAUUAAAUGAUAGAGAACAUCUAAUACAUCUAAUACAACUAUUUCUACAUAACUAGCCAAUGGAUUUCUAAGAAAAAAAGAUUUUACAGACCCCCGUCUUUUAUACCCACCCCAAUGGUCUAACUCUAAAGAGGAUAGAGCCAAUGCCUUUCCUCACAAGAGCUCAGGACUAAAGUCACUUUGCUAUCAGAAUCUGUAUUUGUGAUCCGUUAUGAGCAUUGAGACAAGAUUCAAAUAUUCUCAAGGAAGCACAAGGCACAUUGUGAUCGCCUAUUCAGCAACAAUGAGCACUGCAUUCAAAACUAUCUCAUCCCAGGAAUUAAAUUAGGUCACCCACAUUCAUGGGCAUUUCCUCCACUGUAGUAUUGUAGAAAGUCUCAAUGUCACAAAGAAUCCUCUAGUCUUCUUCAGUAACAAAGUUUACUGAAGUCACAAAGUUACAAAGUCACACCUUUUCUCUUAAAUCGACCCCCUCUGCCAAUUCCACUGGCGCUUUAUUCAAACAGUGUGCUGUUUCCUCUUACGAUUCCACCUCCUAAAUUAUGUCAACGCCGUUUCUGAGUGCCAUCUCGUCAUCGACUGCCCCUAUCAACUCCUGUGAAUAUAGUUUUCAUGGUUGGUAGGUAGAUUGUAGUUUAUAACCAAGGAUACUUGUUGCAUGUCAAUCCUACAAGCCAACAAGCCAGCAGUGAUCAGAACAAGGCUUGACCCUGUUUGGAAGAACAGGGAAUCUUGCCAGAGCUACAUACUUUCUCUAAUUCCAUUUUGGACAAAAACCAUUAAGGUGCCUGUUAGAAAACUACCCAAAGCAAAGAAUGGUGAAUCCUAGUGUUCACCAUGGAAAACAAGCAUUUUGGAAUACUAGCAGGAAAGCUGGGGUCUAAGCUCUCAAUUUUAAAACUAUGUUCUGCUGAGAGAAUCAUUUUUUUAAUGAUAUUUUGCCUUGACUUAUUAAUCUAUAAACAUGGGUGAUUCGUUUUUAUACAGAAAAGCAGUAAGAGUAAUUACACCGUUAUUUCUGUAUAUCUUAAAAACUGGUUAAUUUCUUUUCUGGGGUUUCUGAGAGGUUCAUUGUAAAUACCAAUAAGUUGUUAUUUUUACUUUGGGUGGAAUAAAUAAUUUCUGGACAUUU